AUUGAACGCUGGCGGCAUGCCUUACACAUGCAAGUCGAACGGCAGCACGGGUGCUUGCACCUGGUGGCGAGUGGCGAACGGGUGAGUAGUAUAUCGGAACGUACCUUAUUGUGGGGGAUAACGCAGCGAAAGCUGUGCUAAUACCGCAUAAUCCCUUAGGGGGAAAGCGGGGGACCGUAAGGCCUCACGCAAUUAGAGCGGCCGAUACCUGAUUAGCUAGUUGGUGAGGUAAAGGCUCACCAAGGCCACGAUCAGUAGCUGGUCUGCGAGGACGCUCAGCCACCCUGGGACUGAGACGCGGCCCAGACUCCUACGGGAGGCAGCAGUGGGGAAUUUUGGACAAGGGGGGCAACCCUGAUCCAGCAAUGCCGCGUGAGUGAAGAAGGCCUUCGGGUUGUAAAGCUCUUUUGUCAGGGAAGAAACAGCAGCUCUAACACAGUAUGCGAAUGACGGUACCUGAAGAAUAAGCACCGGCUAACUACGUGCCAGCCGCCGCCGUAA
rnacentral:rRNA from 1 species